UACAGAGGUCUCAAGCGUUGUUCGGAAUCACUGGGCGUAAAGGGUGCGUAGGCUGCACGGUAAGUCAGAGGUGAAAUCCCGGAGCUCAACUUCGGAAUUGCCUCCGAUACUGCCGUGCUUGAGGACUGGAGAGGAGAUUGGAAUUCACAGUGGAGCAGUGAAAUGCGUAGAUAUUGUGAGGAACACUAGUGGCGAAGGCGAAUCUCUGGACGGAUACUGACGCUGAGGAGCGAAAGCGUGGGGAGCGAACAGG
rnacentral:rRNA from 1 species